AUGUCACAAAGCACUGCCAAGCACAUGGAAUAUCACGCAAGGCCUCGUGACAUUGAUGAAAUAAUGGUUCACCCUUCUCAUGGUGAAGCUUGGAAGGAAUUUAAUAAGGAAUUUAAAAAAAUUGCUGAGGAAGUAAGGAAUAUAAGGCUAUGUCUAGCGACUGACGGCUUCACACCUUUUGGUAUUAAAGUAGCCUCCUACUCGUGUUGGCCAGUAUUUGUUGUACCUUAUAAUCUUCCACCAGAAAUGUGCAUGAAGCAGAGUAACCUGAUCCUUGCACUAGUUAUUCUUGGUCCAGAUCAUCCAGGAAAGAACCUAAACAUUUUUAUGAAGCCUCUAGUUGACGAACUUGAUGAUUUGUGGAGAAAUGGUGUAGAAACUUAUGAUAGUUAUCGAAAGCAAAAUUUCAACUUAAAGGCAGCUUUGCUUUGGACUAUUCAUGACUUUCCAGCUUAUGGAUUAGUAGCAUGCUGGAGCACCCAUGGAAAGCUUGCUUGCCCUAUAUGUGGAUCUGACAUAAAGACAUUCUCAUUGAAGAAUGGCAGAAAGUCGUGCUGGUUUGACUGCCACAGGAGAUUCCUUCCCACUAACCAUGCAUUCUGUAGGAGUGUGAAAUGUUUUCGCAAGAAAAAAACAGUUCUAAAUCCUCCACCAAAGCCCUUGUCCGGAGAAGAGGUGUAUGAACAACUCAAAAGUCUUGUUCAUGAUGAAACUGGCUAG
rnacentral:rRNA from 1 species